rnacentral:piRNA from 1 species
UGUUUGAUCGGCAACCGAUUUUAGAUGCACG